rnacentral:rRNA from 1 species
GAGUUUGAUCAUGGCUCAGAACGAACGCUGGCGGCGUGCCUAACACAUGCAAGUCGAACGCGAACGUCUUCUUCGGAGGACAAGUAGAGUGGCGCACGGGUGAGUAACGCGUAAGUAAUCUGUCCUGGCAUCUGGGAUAACCUAUCGAAAGGUGAGCUAAUACCGGAUACGUCCUGCGGGAGAAAGACCGCCUCUGUUGUAAGCGGUUGUGCGAGGAGGAGCUUGCGUACCGUUAGCUGGUUGGUGGGGUAACGGCCUACCAAGGCGACGAUGGUUAGCGGGUCUGAGAGGAUGAUCCGCCACACUGGAACUGAAACACGGACCAGACUCCUACGGGAGGCAGCAGUGAGGAAUAUUGCGCAAUGGGGGCAACCCUGACGCAGCGACGCCGCGUGGAUGAUGAAGGCCUUCGGGUUGUAAAAUCCUGUCAGAUGGGAAGAAGUGUACGAUGGUUAAGAGCUGUCGUAUUUGACGGUACCAUCAAAGGAAGCACCGGCUAACUCCGUGCCAGCAGCCGCGGUAAUACGGAGGGUGCGAGCGUUGUUCGGAUUUACUGGGCGUAAAGCGCGCGUAGGCGGUGUGAUCAGUCAGCUGUGAAAGCCCAUGGCUCAACCAUGGACGUGCAGUUGAAACUGUCAGACUUGAGUACUGGAGGGGGUGGUGGAAUUCCCGGUGUAGAGGUGAAAUUCGUAGAUAUCGGGAGGAAUACCGGUGGCGAAGGCGACCACCUGGCCAGAUACUGACGCUGAGGUGCGAAAGCGUGGGGAGCAAACAGGAUUAGAUA